UUUCUUACAACAAAGCAAGACUAUAUGGUUAACAAAAAGCAAUACUUGGGGCGGUGCUCUACAAAGCUUUGUAACAGCAUAUUUCUAUUAAGCUGAACUAGCACUUUUUAAAAGCUAAAAGUUAAGUAACAGUAACAUUAUGUUAGCAAAACCUUACACAGUAGAAGACACUUCUCAAGGACACAACCAGUAAGCUCAAACAGUGGUUUCUCUGUCUUAUCUUACUUCUAGCUGUAGGUGGUUUUUUUUUUUAGCACACAGACACAGAUUCACUUUUUAACUCAGAAAAUGCUUGUUGCAGUUAAAAUGAUUACUUGACACAAGCAAAGGCCUAGCUAUCAUUCUGCCUUGUGGUCAGCUGCAUUACUAGGCCACAGGUCAUGCCUUGUAUUCAGCUGUGAAGCUAAUACUUCUUAAAAAUCCAAAUUAUUGUAAACCUAACAGUAUGCUUUCAGAAAACUAAUCUAUUUCAGGGCAAUGACAAACCUGAGGACUACAGCCCCAGUUGUUUAGACUAGGGAUGUCUACUGUAGCAGUUCUAUUCUGCCUGAUAGUGAGUGUAAGGUGUUGCACUUGUACUGUGUUAACUUUGGCUUUUCAAGGUCUCCCAUGUACAGGAGGCACAUACCUGUCAUCAUACUGACCUGACACAUAUACCACUGAUGUACAGAUAGGAAGAGACAUACAUGGAGAUCAGUGGCUUUAGAGUCCAGGGCCCAGACACACUUAAUCGGCAUUGUAACACAAGUGCGUAGGUGUCGGGCGAACGCGAAGGAGUAACCUGCGUGUCAGCUGUUAAUAGUUGUUUGUAGUGGGAGUUGAACUGGUAAUGUUAAAUGUGUGGUGGAUCCUAACCCUGUGGGGAGAGAACUUCCUGGGGUUCAUUGUCUAGCUGCAUAGCAACUAGACAAUACAGGUAAAGUUUGCUGCAGUUCAUUUGCUCGAGCAAUGACCACUAAGGCUGGCAAGUUGCAAAAUGGCCACCCUGAAAGGGUGGGGCGGUCUUUUAGACUGUUUACAACAAGGCAAUGCUACAGGGUUAACAGAAGCCAUACUUGGGCAGUGCUUCACAGAUCUUCAUAACAGUAUAUUUCUAUUAAGUUGAACUAGCACUUUUUAAAAGCGAACAGUUCAGUAAGAGUACCAUUACAAUAGCCUAGCCAGACCUUGCAGCGGUAGAUACUUCUUAAGGACACGAUCACUGUACUUAGAACAAUGGCUUUUUUAGUCUUAUCCUGUUCCUUGUUGUAGCUUAUGUUACAGCACACAGUUGCUGCAUUUAAUUCAGAAACUGGGUAACAUAGUUAAAAGGAUUACUUGACCCAAGUGAAGGCUUAGCUAUCAUUCUGCCUUGUGGUCAGUGGCAUUGCUAGGCCGCAGGUCAUGCCUUGCAUUGAGCUGCAAAGCUCAUACUUCUUAAUAAUCGAAAUCAUUGUUAACCUAACAGUAUGCUAUCAGAAAACUAUUCUGUUUCAGUCCAAUAACAAACAUGCUCACUACAAACCCUAGCAUUUGGUGUAAGCCUAACUGGGUAUGGAUUCAUGUGUGGACUUGUUCCCUCAUUGUAGCACCAGUGUAAUGCUAAGUUGACCUGGAUUCAUUUGUGGGCCUGUGCUGUACCCAUAGGUCUUUGUAUAGGAGGAGAAGAAAACCCCUGGCCUUAAUAUGUUUGUAAGGAGUGCUUCGUUGAAUUUCCCAUACCUACUGAGCUCACCUACGAUGUUAGUAGGUCAACCCAUAAAUUUCCCAGGUGUGCACUUUGCGGUGUGUGCAGGUGCUAGGUAGCAACUAGUUGUCUAUUGUACUUGUUAUCUCUUUUGUCAUGUGACCGGCAAUUGAAACCAACAUAUAAAAGGUUUGCUUUGAUUGCGUGCCGUGGACAGGCCCAGUGCCUCCCUCCUGCAGCUGGUUGUACACAAAGGUGCCUGACCACGUCGUGAUGAAAUCACAGAGCGAUGCUUCUUUCUUCCGCGGCAUUACCACUUUUUGGACUUGGAUUCAUUUCCGAUUCUGUUCCCUCACCCUACCACUUGGCAUCAGUCUAAGUGGUCCCGGAUUAGUUUGUGCACCUGUUCCCUCACCCUAGCACUCGGCGUAACCGAUGCUGGGCCCGGAUUCAUUUCUGACUCCGAUCCCUAAUCCUAGCACUUGGACUCACCCUAACUAAGUGCGUUGGCAUUUGUUUCAAAAUCUGUUUCCUAACCCUAACCGUUGCCCUAGCCAUCACGGGACUUUGAUUCAUUUGUGGACCCGUUCUGUCCCAGUAGCACUCGGCCUAACCGUCCCUGGCCCUGGAUUCCUUCCUGAAUCUAUUCCCUAACCCUACCAGUCGGACUAACCCUAACUGUCCCCGGAUUCUUUUUUGAAUCCGUUCUCCAAUCCUAGCACUUGGCGUAACCCUAAGUGGAGUUUGAUUCCUUUUUGAAUAUGUUUCCUAAUCCUAGCAACUGCUGUACCCCUAACGGGACCCAGAUUUGUUUGUGGACCCGUUUUGUCCCCACUACCACUCGGCGUAACCCUCACUGGGGCUGGAUUCAUUUCUGAAUGUGUUCCAUAACUGUAGCGCUUGGCGUAACCUUAACGGGGCCUGGAUUCAGCUUGGAGCGCAUUCCCUAAGCUUGGCACUCCAAAUAACAAUAAGUGGACUCAGAUUCGUUUUGGAAUCCGUUCCCUAACCCUAGCACUUUGCCUAACCCUAACCGACCCCGGAUUUGUUGUUGAAUCUGUUCGCUAACCGUACCAGUUGUCGUAACCCUAACUCGAUCUGGAUGUGUUUCUGAAUACCUUCCCUACCCGUACCACUUGCUGUAACUAUAACUGGGCCUGGAUUUGUUGGCGGUUAUGUUCCCUAACCCUAGCACUUGGUGUAACCGUCGCUGGGGCGGGAUUCUUUUCUGAAUAUGUUUCCUAAGCAUAGCCCUUGUAGUAAGCCUUGCUGGACUGGGAUUAAUUUCAGAUUAUGUUCCCUAACCCUAGUCCUUGGCCUAACAGUUAAUGGACUCAGCUUCACUUGUGGACCCGUUCUGUCUCUGUAGCAUUUGGCCUAACCUUAACUGGUGCUGGAUUCAUUUGUGGACCUGUUCCCUAACUGUAGCACUUGGUGCAAGCCUAACAAACCCUGUAUUUGUUUAUUAGUCCGUUCCCUAACCCUAGCAGUCAGCGUAAGCGUAACUAGCCCCUGAUUCUUUUCUGCAUCUGUGUUGUACCCGUCGGAUUUAGUGUAACUUUAAGCGUACUUGGAUUCAUUUAUCAAUCUGUUCCCUAACCCUGGCCCUUGGCCUUUCCUUGGAUUCUGAAAUCUCUACAGGGGUUAUUGGUGGAGGAUUGUCUGUGCAGCUCAGGAAAGCAGCUCAAGCUCACGUCUCCCGAGCUUCUGAAAUAAUCCGUAGGCUGCUUGCCUUGUUUGUAUGUAUGAAAAUGGUUUAAGAUGACAGGGGUAACAAGACAGUCUACAGUAAAGCAUAUAGAAAGCUGGGGAAUAGUGUGGGUGUUUUGUGUGGUAUUGCUGACCAAGGGUGGGACGAAAUAUUUUUGAGCGCUGUGUUUUAGUGCCAAAGUUCCUGUGUGUGAAAGAAUAUGAGUCGCUGACUCGCUCUGAGAUGAAGCUUGGAUCUAGCCGCCCCACGGCUGUCUAGAAAGGCAGAGUUGGAAGCAAGGGGGCCCAGCUGGAACCUUGUGACGCAGUGAACAGUUUUAUUGUCUCCGCAUCCACGGUAAUUGUCCAGGUCCAAGAAGAUUUACGUUAACCACCGGAUGUUUCCUGUCAGAAUCUCAUACCAGGUGAUUGGAUUUAUGUAAAGGUCCAUCAUUUGAACAAUGUGCUUCAACUGACACGGAAUGGACUGUUCCAGGUGGUUUGGCCCACUAACACUGCUGUUUGUUGCCCAGGUCUCUCGACGUGGACUUGCACUGUAAAAAGUUAUCACCUCUAUUGGACCCUAGAGCAGUUGAAUUGCAAGCUGGGCUAAGACCUUUCCCUGAGGCGAAGGACAAACAGCGGCAAGAUCUUAGUCUGGAAAAUGAGGAGUAUCAGGGUGCAAGUGCUAGUAACCUCUCCCCUGAACCCAGCACUGCAGCCUGGCCAGAUUCACCAGUUGGCGAUGGAAGAUAUUAUCUCUGAGCCCAAUGAAUAAUGUCCAGACUUUAUACGUGUCUAUCCCGGAUGGUUCUAGUGCUAUUGAGCAUGUGGCCCAAAGUAUAGAGAAAGAAGUGGCUACAGUUUAUGAAACUGAUGAAUGGAGUGUGUGCAGCUGUUUUGUCACAUUUGGGGCCAAAAGAUUUUGUAGUGCAAUCAUGGUCCUGGAGUUUAUUCUCUUUCUCCAACUGUUCUUCUUAUUGCUAUGCAAUUGGUACCUUAGUUGAUCCCAACAAAGGUGCAAAAAUUCUGUCUAAUGUGAUACUGGGUCAAUUGCAAGUAGUCUGUCAAUUGUUCUCAAGGGAGCGUUGACAGAUACUGUAGCUAAGACGAAGCGUGACUGUGCCUCGCAGGAUGCAUAAAUCAUAGUGUUUUGAUAUUGGUGCAUUUUGCAGUUUGUCAGCCAACAGAAGGUUACACAUUGUAUCAGCUGUAGUAUAAGUACAGAAACGGGGCAAUGUAGAAGAAAAGCCCAGCCCUUAAUAUGGAUCUAAGAAGUGCUGUGUGGAAUUUUCCAGAGCAACGGAGCAGAUCUAUGGCGUUAGUAGGUAACCCCAUAAUUUUCCUGUGUUUCCCGGUUCUAGGUGCCAGCUAGUUAUCUGGUCACCUUGACUGUGUCGUCUGUCAAGUGACAUGACAUUUAAACAUCUAAAAGGUUUGCAUUGA